rnacentral:lncRNA from 1 species
AGUGUCAUGGGACAGUGGGCCCUGGUGCCACAAUGCCCGGCAUCUCCACCAGAUACAGCUUUGAGAUCUUCAUGAUGAAGCUUGCUCCAAUCCAAGGGCUGUCAGGUGGGGUUUGCGGUUCAGCUGCUAACCUUUCUUUGAUCCAAAUCCUGUCUUCACUGGCUUCAAGAAUCCUGUCUUCACUGGCUUCAAAACUGGGAUGAAGGAGGCUCCUUAGUGGAGAGCAAAGCAAAGAGAAACUCAAAUUGGAUCCAUAUUAAAGAAGAGAAGGAUGGAUUUGUUUAGACAACACAAACCUAGGAAGGGUUUGAGAGGUGAAACAAACUGGGUUAUGGAUGAACGGGGGCAAUUGGAAUGUAGAAUUGAAGCAGUAAUUAACAUCUUGGUUUCAUCUGGGUGUUUGGCAUCAUGUUCAGAAAUGUGAAAAAUAAAAUUCAGCACCGUUAUUACUGAAUUAGAUAAAAUGAUUGUAUUUAAUUAAUCCGUAAAUAUUAACUAAUUAUUCUGUUUACCAUAACAUGUAAUGAAUAUAAUUCUCCACCAGGCAAAUAAAGAAAGAAAGAUGUAAUUAGGUGAUUUAAGCAUAAAA